rnacentral:rRNA from 1 species
CCUACUGGAGGCAGCAGUGGGGAAUAUUGGACAAUGGGGGGAACCCUGAUCCAGCCAUGCCGCGUGUGUGAAGAAGGCCCUCGGGUUGUAAAGCACUUUCAGUGAGGAAGAACGCCUGGUGGUUAAUACCCAUCAGGAAAGACAUCACUCACAGAAGAAGCACCGGCUAACUCCGUGCCAGCAGCCGCGGUAAUACGGAGGGUGCGAGCGUUAAUCGGAAUUACUGGGCGUAAAGCGCGCGUAGGUGGCUUGAUAAGCCGGUUGUGAAAGCCCCGGGCUCAACCUGGGAACGGCAUCCGGAACUGUCAAGCUAGAGUGCAGGAGAGGAAGGUAGAAUUCCCGGUGUAGCGGUGAAAUGCGUAGAGAUCGGGAGGAAUACCAGUGGCGAAGGCGGCCUUCUGGACUGACACUGACACUGAGGUGCGAAAGCGUGGGUAGCAAACAGGAUUAGAUACCCCUGUAGUC